AACUAGUUUUUUUUUGAAAAAUAAGAUGUUACCAGUUCCGUGGUACAUGUACGGUAACAGUUACAUUGAAUAAUGCUGAAAGAUAUUGCGUCAUUUCUGAAUCCUUCAUCCAAGAUAGGUGAUGAGGCACAUGUUCAAGUAUUGGGGAAAGCCUUUUAUCAAAUAUUUCAACCAUAAUUAUUUAUCUAUAUCUUUGGAGCAUCUAGAGGUAAGGGAAUUUCCUAUAUAUUCUUUGAUUUGUCGUGAGGAUGUUGGUGAAGUUUUGUAUAUAUUCUUUGAUUUGUCGUGAGGAUGUUGGUGAAGUUUUGUAUAUAUUCUUUGAUUUGUCGUGAGGAUGUUGGUGAAGUUUUGGCAUCCAGUAUAAGUUCGAUAACUCUAACUUAUUCAUCCCAUUGACUGAGAUGUUUAAAACUAAAACGUGAAUCUGAAGAAGUUCGUCCUUUGAAAUAGGAAUUUGAGUAUUAGUUGGAUUACCAAAUGUGGAAUUAAAGCCAGUACGUAAAUGUAUUACUAGUAUAUGUAGUGAGUGUAACCUUUGUGCACUGAUUUACGUCAGCGAAACCAAGAUAUCACCAGAUAAAAGAAUAUCGGGGCAUAUAUUUAAAGUCUUUGUCUAGUGAGGGUGAUACUGCAGCUGUAUUUCUAAAGACAUUUCUACAAUGAUGAAAAUUUCUCAGGUUUUACAGUUUUUGACAAGACAUGUAAAGAUGGAGGGCAUGUCCGGCAGAGAAUAAAAAUAUACCUUUGCAUUCUUUAAGUUUGGCGUAUGAAUUAUGGUUAAUUUUGCAUCAUUUGAUUCCAAAUAUUGUGACAAACAGGACAAACAGUUGUGAAGUGAAAGUCAGUUGAUGCUUUCUAAUUUCAUCGGGUCUAAAGAAACUUGUAUUAUAGGCACUGGUUGUAGAUGUCAUUUUUCCAUUUAAAAGAAAUUAUCUAUCCUGGUCAGAAGUAUGAUGGGAAUCUUAUUGCGAAAGCUUUGGUACCCAGAGUUGACUAUUUCAGGUGAUUGAAAUAUAUGAAUUUGUAGCUACCAACGUUCAUCCUCGAAUUCUUUUUUCUUAUCCCGUGGGGAUCCGGGUUAGAAUAGGUCCUCAGUACCCCUUGCUUGUCGUAAGAGGCGACUAAAUGGGGCGAUCCUUCGGAUGAGACCACAAAAACGGAGGCCUCGUGUCACAGCAGGUUUAGCACGAUAAAGAUCCCUCCCUGCUCAAAGGCCAUAAGCGCCGAGCAUAGGCCGAAAUUUUGCAGCCCUUCACCGGCAGUUGUGACGUCUCCAUAUGAGUGAAAUAUUCUCGAGAGGGACGUUAAACAAAAUACAAUCAAUCAAUCCUCGAAUUCUUCAAGUAAAAGCAGCUAAUCUGCAACUACAUUGUCUUCAUUGUAGAUUUUCAAUCGAUUACAUUAAGUUGAAUGUCAUCUUUGCGAAUCUAUAUUAUUAAAAGAAACUUCGUAGACAAAGUCGAUUAGAAACAUGGAUUAUUUAACACCACUGUAAUUUCAACAUUUGACAACACUUGAAAAGAUAUUUUCUUUAAGUUCUGCUUAACAAUAAAAGAAAAAAGAAAUUAAUAUUCAUACAUGAAAGAUACCUGGAAAAAACAUAUUCAUAUUUGAAAACAUAGAAAACAUAUUCAUGUUUGCUUUUAGGAUUAUCGUAAAAUUUGACACCUUGAUAUCAAAUCACCAAAAUAUACAUGUACAAAGUAUAUUGUUAACAUAAUUUCAGAUCACAUUAGGCAUUUGAACGGUUUUUGAAACACUUUAGCAAAAGAAUACAUAUGUGGAAAAGCACACUUCGGCGGGAAUUCCUUUCUUUGUAGGAUAAUGCAAAUGUCUUCAUUGCUUCCUCAAAAUAUCCACUUUCGUAAAGGCUACAGCCCAACAAAUUUAAGUGAUGAUACUUGUGAACAGUUUCUUGGAGCACUUGUGUUUCCAGCUCACGUAGAGCUACACAAGACUCAAUGUUUCUCUCCAAAAAUCGACUGCAUUUAUAUCUCAUAUAAUGUGCGUACACGAGAGGACUAACUACCACGAAACACUCGGACGAAAUCCCAUCUGUUUGUUCACAGUCCAAUAGGUAUGAAUUUACUUCUAUUCUGAGAUGUUCAGUCAGAAUGGAUUCCUCCAAUUUAAAGAAUGUCAGGCUGCAAAUAGGUCGCCUCGGGGAAUUGAAGGACAUAUUUGCCAUAUUCAACAAGAAAGAUGAUAAAACUUGAAAAUACGAUUUCGUACUGUUCAUUCGAAUGCAUGGACAAACUUUUAAUUCUUGAAGCAUCGGGGACACAAUGUGUAAUGUAUUUUCAUAAAACGAGUUUGUAAAAAAUACAUGGGCAAUUUGUACAAUCUCAUUGACACCAAACGUUUCUGUCCCUAAAUUUGCAGACAUUAAGAGUUCUUUGAUAAUUGAAAAGCGCUUUACAGGGCUCGGUAAAUCCCGGCAAAUUACAACAUUCAUUAAUCUAAUUUGUGCGCAUGAAAGAAGUCUAAUGAACAAAUUCUGGAGAGAAGGAUUAUGCAUAUGCAAAUCUGAAGGAGUUUUACGAAGAGUUCUGAGAAAGGUACGCAACUCUGUGACUGCAUCGUUCCAAUUGCUGUUACUUGGUGUAGACAAACAUGAAUUCAUACCAUCCCACAAAUUUUCUUCAAUGGACCUUUGAGAAAUCUGUUCCCACAAGUUCAACGCCCACUUACUGUUGCUGAUUCUUUUUAAUAGUGGAGUGAAUCCUGAAGAGUAAUACUUCAUUCCGGAUAUGAUCGGAAUGUUUUUUAUAUUGUCUAUGAAAUGUUGUUCUCUUGUAAAAUUUUCAAGUACAUUGCACACAAGAAACUUUUCGUGGUCAUUUAGUUUUUUAUGCAAAAGAUUGCAUUCUUUCAUAAAAUAAUUCGGACAAUACUCUUCUUUCACAAAACUGAGUAUUUUUCUUAAGCAUAACCAAGUAUAUUUCAAACACAGCCCCUCCUUCCAAUCAUUAGCAUUGUGUUGUUCCGAAAUCCAUGAAAACGAUGUUUUGGCAAUGUAAGAACUGAUUUUUUCGUGAAACAGUUCCCCGAGUAAUUUGCUCUUGAAAACAACUUUCAAUAACACAAAUGUCUUUAGCUGCGCAUUAUUUAGUGAGUGUAUAAGAUAUCGCUCUGCCCUUGCAAAUGAAAUUCGCCACUGUAGAUCCUCCAUUUCACUUCCAGGAACUCCCACUGGUACAAGAUCACAACCCAUUUCUAUAAUUUUCGCCAUCUGAUCACCAGAAGGCCAAUUAAAAGGACGAUAUCUUUCAAUCCAUUCAUCAGCAAUAGAUGGCCAUUCAUGGCAAUGAAUUCCCAUGACGAAAUCCAUUGAUUCAAAUAAACCUAACGGCGAGUUAAAAAUAUCUCCAGUAGAAAAAACAAACAUAUUUGCCGGUCCGUGAUUACGACCACCAGUAACUAUUAUAUUCGUCAUAUUAGAAAUGGAAUGGUGCAGUGAAGCUAUACUUGAAAAGUCUUUGUAAUUCGCAGCAGAAUGAAAAGAGCAUGUAUCUAAGUUGCCGUUGAGGUUCCUUAACAGGACAUAACCUGGCAAACAAUAGCCGUGUUCCAGUUUCACUAUGUCCACCUGGUGUGGCUGUAGAGUGAAAUGUCUUUCCACGGCAAUUGUGUUUUUCAAUAUGAACAUACCAUCUACAUCAGAUUUUUCCUGUGUAAGUAUAGAUACUCCUGUCAUUCCUUCUGCAACAGAACCAACUAUAACAAUUUCACCUAACAGUGUGUCCAUUGUUUUCCGUUUUAACAAAUGUUGGAAACACAUUUCUAUCCACGUCACCGUUGAUACUUGUUUUCUCCAUAGAACUGGAUUGCACAUCGCUUCGUAUAUGUCUGAUAAUUCUUCUUCUUCUACGUCCAUUUUAAUACUUGUAUCUUGAAAUAUGAAAAAAAGAACAAAUGAAUGUGAAAGAGCGAAUGAAUGAUUGGUAUAGGUAUUUCAGAGGCUAACAUGGAAUGAUGCAAUGUGUAAUUGCCUUUAUUUACAUUUCACAACCAUAUAUGAAUGGCAACAUAAAUACACCCAUUGGCAGUUCAAUAUUCAUGGCUUUAAAAAUAAACCGUUAAGCAAGACAUGUUGAAUAAGCAGCUAUAUAAUGUAGUCAUGUCUAAAUUAUUUGUCUGCAUUCUGAUAUUUUUUGGGACAGAUUAACAGUCAUAAUUACUGCAUCAGUUGCCAUACCCCCGAUAAUAAAUUAAGCCAUGACAAAUAUGUUUCAUUAGCAAUGAAUGUGUGAGUCUAAUAAGCUUUUCUGCAGUUCAUCUUAGCUCAAUGAGAAAUAAUCACCGGUUUCAAAGUUUCUUUUGCGUUCGGCAAACAGCAAGCAAAGUCCGUAUUCAUAUCAUCACAAAAAGAAACACAGUUGUACAAAAAGAAUUUUAUUAAGAAUUGGUAGAAACACAUACUAGAUUAAAUUCAAUAAUUUGUUCCCAAAUCAAUUUAAACUUUAAAAUUACAUUUUCUUAAAGACAUGAAAAUGCUGACAAAAUGAAUAUGAUAUAAUAUACUUUUCAGUAAAAGGUCAAAAGGGUUUCUUAAACUAUGCAAGAAAUUGUAAUUGGUACAGUGAAUUUGGAAUGUGUGCAACUUAGAUAUUGCAUAAAGCAAACAUAUAAUUUAAGGAGGACAUAAAGUCGACUGAAAACAUGUAUGCUUUGGGGAUGGAGGUUAAAGUUUGAUUCAUUAUCUUAAGAGAGUUUUUACAGGGCUUUCAACACUUGCACAUGUACUCUAAAGGGUCAAAUCAUCAUCAUGAUGCAAUGCAUAUAUUUGUGCAAACAUGUAAUGGCGCAGGAAAGUUUUGUGGUAAUUCAAAAUCAUUUUCAAGUCAUUGACUCCCUUGGCCUCCGCCUACACGUCUGUAUGAUACUUUUUGCCGAAUGUCACACAUCACAAUUUUCAUGGCAUAGUGGCCUGUCCUCCAUUUUCAGAUGGCAGUCUUUAAGGACAUAGUGGCCUGUCCUCCAUUUUCAGAUGGCAGUCUUUAAGGACAUAGUGGCUUGUCCUCCAUUUUCAGAAAUGCCAUGUAGAGUCUCCAUCUAUGAAAAAAAGAUAACUAUAGGUCAUUACAAUGCAAACAGUGUGAAAUAUUGAAAACAUACCAUCUAUCCGAUAAAAUAUACAUCUUGCAAAGGACAAAAUGCAACGGACGAGACCGAGAUUCGAACACGGCCCCCUAGCAGCUGAAUACCUAGUCAGGUGCUCUAGCAUUUGAGCUAUCUAACAACCGGUGAUCGAAUCCGGCUGACUGCUAUACUCCCCCUUCUUCACACCUGAAGACAUCAACCCAGAUUCGUUUUGCCCCAGGCAGGACUUUCACCUGCAAAUCUAGGGGUGGUCUACGGCACCAAAUGUAACAGGAAGGGAGACAGACCGGGACUCUAACCCGGGCCCCCUGAAUCAGUUCCUGAAAAAUUCUUCAUUGAUUCGAAAAUCAAUAUAAAGAGCAUCUCGUGAACAUUUCAAGAAUUGAAUAUUUUGUGGAUCUAUCUUUAAUAAGUUCAAUUGAGAUAUCAUAAAGAAUUAAUUGAUCGAGAACGGUUUGAAUUCUUUUCCCAAACUUGUUCAAAAACAGAUUAUAGAUAAUGUUGUGAUGGAUAUAUUUAACAUUCUGGUGGAAUAGCUGUUUUGAUUCUAAAUAUCCAAGGAAAAGUCGUAAACUUUUGGUUUUAAUUCUAAAAUUUCAAGAAAAAGUUGUGGUGAACUUCUGCCACAGUUUCAAUUAUAGAUAAAAAAUAAAAUAAAAAAAGGUUGUGGAGCUCUUUUGGCACAGUGUACCACUGACGUCAUUAGCUCCACAUUCUGGCAAACAGUUCUGACACACCCAUCAUGCUAAUUUGUUUACCACAUUAGCGGCACAUUUGCAAAAAACUUUGAAUUUUGGCAAGGGAAACCUACGUUACGAGUAAAAUGGGUGUUGUUUUUUUUUAAAUAGUGUUUUAGGCUUACUCGUUCACAAUGAAUACGAUAUAGAGUAGAUUUAAUACUUGAUACUGUAAUUAUUAAUGCUUAUAUGUUGUAUGACCAUGAAAACUACAUACCGUGAUUGCUUCCCGUGAUAAUCAGCUUCCGUAUCUUCUUUUCUCCUGUCAUUGGACCAUAGUACUAUUUUCUAGACAUCCACGUGGUGUCAACUAACACUUCAUGAUAUUAACUUUUUUUCAGAAUUUCAUAAUCGAGAAUACAUGUAUAUUUUAUCAAAAUGAUAUGGCAUACAUAUUUGAAUGUUUAUUUCAAAAAAUGCAUUCCAUUAAUCGUAAGCAAUCAUUUCCACACAUUCAUCUGCGAUUCGCAAACUGAACGUAAACGUGAGGAACAGGGUUUAAGCCCGUUUUGACCCAAAACUCCUCGUAACCAUAAAUAAAGAAAAGAUCGAAGUCUGACUUAGCUAACUCACAUUUAGGUAUUUUUACUCGAACAUUUACCGGUUCAGGUUCAGGUCACCCAAUGAUGGCAGCUUAUCUCAAAUUUCAAUAAAGUUCUCUAUAUGUACUAGUAUGCUAUAUAAUAAUGAUAAUAUAAAAAAUCAUAUAGCUGGGUCUGUAGUCUGCACUAACAACAUCAACUGCUAACAAAAUCAAGCAAACGGUUAAUAUUGUUAGCAGUCAAUGUUGUUGCGGAAUAUAGCAUUCUUAGAGAACUCUAUUGAAAUAUGAGUAAGUAGCAUAGAUUUGAAGUGAAAUUCCGUACAAUAGAUGCAAAAUGUGUCCCCCACUUGUCUGAAUUUCGUAAGCCAGGCAGGACCAUUGUACCACAAACAUUGUAGAAUGUUCACUAAAUGUAUCCUUUAUGAACAUCAACUAUGUCUAAAUGUAGAAGUGACCCCCACUCUUUAUUUAAAAUGGGUGUAAAAUUAAUGCACACUGUACAAUGUUUUGAAGUGGGUUGAGCCUCGCAAUUUUCUAAAGACAUUGCUCAUCUUAUAUUUGUAUGCAUCUUUUGAAAAUUGAUUUUUGCCGAUUUGCAUAUGUACUUGAAACGACGAAAUUUAUGUGGGAAUAUAUACAAUCAAUGUGUAAAAACCUGGACUGGGAACCCAAUCCAGUGCCCCUGUCUUACUGGUCACGUGCUCUACUGGCUGACUCCCACCUCAAUAAAUUCAGUGAGAAUUGGAGCGGGAAUUCAAACCUUCAAAAUGAAGGGGUUGUCUGUCGCCAGCAUUAGGAUAGCUUGUUUAAAAUUCCUAUGUAUGAAAAUGCUUGUUUCAUCACAGGGGCUCGUCACGAAUUGACCCUCUCUAUUCUAGAUAUUUACACAAGAGAGGAAUCCGCAAUCCCAAAAACGCUACUUCAAAUUUUCAUUCGUCUCCUUUUUGUAUUCCAAGGACGUUCAAUCUAACAAGCCCGGUCUCGAUCGAUCGAGGAAAGAUCAUAGUUUGUAGUAAAAACAACAACAACAACAAAAACCCACCCUAAUAUCUUAUUGCACCGGCAAUACACAUGAAGAACCAAUGCAUUUUCUGUCGUUUUUGAACCACAGGAACUUUUCCUCAAUCACCCAAAAUAGAAGACGCGUUCUCAUUGGUCAAUUCAAAUAUAGUAUAAAUAUAGAAUAGAAGAUGUCAAAUUUUUUAGAUAAGACAAAAAUUUCGUGACGAGACCCUGUGGUCUCAUUUCAUGAACUCAAAAACAAGCAUCUGAUUUAUGAAACUCAAAUUCAAAUAAUAUCCACAUUUUCGAGAGAUGCAAUAAUUUUUCUAAAUGAUUGAAGACCCGAUUAAAAUAUUUUCUCUAAACAUCAAUAGGGGGUAUGUUGGACUUGUAUUUCUUCAUGAAGGGAUGUACACGUUUAUAUCAAAGCGAAAAUUUAACGUUAACUGAAAUUGAAAGUAGAACGACAGGACCCUCUUUAAUUUAUAUUUUUGCUUAAACACUGUUAAAUGCAAACAUGUACAGUGUAUUGAUCCUACUGAAGAGAAACAAGCUCGACAUCUGCCCUCCACUGAGGAUUAAAGCUUGCUGUGUCUAAAAGCAUCCAGAUCUUAAUAAGAAAUUGUACCACAUCAUUGUCACUUAUAAUUUAGAUGGGUGGCAAGGUUCUGUUUUGGGUGUAAAAUCACAGGGGUUCGUCACGAAAUUUUUGUCUUAUUGAAAUUUGACAUCGUCUAUUCUAUAUUGUAAAUAUAGAAUAGAGAGGGUCAAUUCGGGACGAGCCCCUGUGGUAAAAUUAAUAUUGAUAUCUGGUUAAAAUCAGAGAAUUUAGAUACAUGUGGGUAAUUGAUAUGAAAUCGAAAGUAAAUUAAAUCAAUUCUAUUUUUCUUUAGUUAUCAGAAAAAGUAAAAUAGAAUAUUUCUAUGCGAUUUUAACAUUGCAAGACGUAGUCGGAUAGUUCAACAACUUACGGUUUGAGAGAAAAUAUAGGCGAUCAAGAUUUGAUGUACAUUGUAGGCUUGAAGGGCGACGCUCACGAGUUAUCUAUAAUAUAUCGUGGCUAUCUCGUUAAACUCACCACUUGAUCUGUGUAUGCAGCAAGGUAAGUUCCUCGAUGUAGUAAACAGCGAAUCAAUAGCUUGAGUCGAUUAAUUCCAAGGGCAGCGGCGUAUUAGGAACUGGUCCGUGGAACACGUCUGCUCUGGCAAUCUCUCACUAGAGGGCGUUACGCUACGCUCCACAACACCUCUGUUAUCGUCUAAUUUACAAGAAUUUUGUAAAACAGAGCGUCUUUGAAAAUAAAAUAAAUCUGCAUCAUUUUCAUAAAUAAAACAUACAUUUAUGAGUUAAAAACACAUUGGUAGGUAUCGAAACGCUGUAUUACGUUAGUGCAACCUCCA